GUCGUGGAACUGAAUAGCGUUGCCAGUUCUGACGCCAACUGCCGAAGAGAUGUAACUGGUGAUGGAAGGAGAGACACUGAGAUGGGCACAUGGACUUGCAUGUGAACUCGUGACAGCAGGUACUUGUAUCAGGUUCCAGUGGUCUAAGGUACCUGGGUAAGGCAUGGGUGCUGUGUGUCUGUUGGCCAUGGUUUUCUCUGGUCUCAAUGUGUUAAUUUCAGUGUUCAUAGAAAUGUUUGUCUUUAUUUAUAGCCUAUCCAAGAGCUGUGCUGCGGCAGAGAAGCUAAACACACCAGGGAUGAGCUGUCCUCUAGAAGAACCCCUGCAUCUGCCUCUCUUGGCAAGUGGUCCAAGCAGUGACAUACCCAUGUUAGCAGUUCCAGGUGGGUGUGUUACAUGUAUUUGAAGUCUUCUCUCUUGCUCUCUGCAGUGUACUAGAACCUACACGUGCUUUGUAUAACUCGUUUCCUACCUGCUCCUCUUGUAAUGUCCAGUUUUCCUAAUAAACAUCUUUUGAAGUCAUUGCUUUGUGCCUGU
rnacentral:lncRNA from 14 species